GUGUCACCCUGAGAAGUUUAGCACUUUAAUUAAUUAACUCAGCAAGGGGCCAGGGUCCUCACUUUGUAAACAUCCUCAGCCUGUGCAAGAGGAGGGCGUGGAAAUGACCUGAGUGCUACACCCCCAGGGUGCGGCCGGCUGCCCUGCAUGCCCUGACCUGGUUGCUUCAUUCAAUACCGAUGUCCUGUUUGAAGUUAUUCUUCUUCUUUCUGUGCAAGAACCGCUUUUCCAUCAUCGAGCAUACUCCUUGAGGCAGUACCUAGACUUGGCCCUGGGAGUAUGACUGUUAACUAUGCUUACAGGGAGGCAGGUCCCAUGUGUGACCUUGGUAACACCCUACUGCCUUUUUCCUCACACAGCGCUGAGCACAAGGAAGCAGCACACAUCUCCUUGGAGGCAGUGACAACUUGACUCAGAUUCCUAAGGGAGAAGCUUAGCAACAACAGUGAGGUCUUCAGCAUCUCAUGUCUUCCUAGUGGGCAGCUCCAAGCGGCACCUAUUUUUUAGGAACUGUGGGUGAUCAUCUCUGAGCAGCAAGAGGCUAUGGAGAAGAUCUCGUCUGCAGAGGAGGAGAAAAAGGCAGAGAAUCCUCGCUUCAAAUUGAGAUUAAAGAGAUGUAUAAAAUGUGGGAAACUGCAAAAUUUUCUACAAAAUUUUGCUCUACUUAAAUAAGUGUGGAGCAUUGAGAAAAAUCUGUUUAACAAUGCAAUGUCACAUUUCCAUGAAAUCCUCAAAAGGAGGCAAAAGUGUUAUUGGAUAGGUUCCUUGUUAAAGUUACAUGAAAAAAGAUUUCA